rnacentral:rRNA from 1 species
GAUGAACGCUGGCGGCGUGCCUAAUACAUGCAAGUCGAACGAAACUUCUUUAUCACCGAGUGCUUGCACUCACCGAUAAAGAGUUGAGUGGCGAACGGGUGAGUAACACGUGGGCAACCUGCCCAAAAGAGGGGGAUAACACUUGGAAACAGGUGCUAAUACCGCAUAACCAUAGUUACCGCAUGGUAACUAUGUAAAAGGUGGCUAUACUACCGCUUUUGGAUGGGCCCGCGGCGCAUUAGCUAGUUGGUAGGGUAAAGGCUUACCAAGGCAAUGAUGCGUAGCCGAAUUGAGAGGUUGAUCGGCCACAUUGGAACUGAGACACGUCCCAAACUCCUCAGGGAGGCAGCAGUAGGGAAUCUAACACAAUGGGCGAAAGCCUGAUGGAGCAACGCCGCGUGGGUGAAGAAGGUCUUCGGAUCGUAAAACCCUGUUGUUAGAGAAGAAAGUGCGUGAGAGUAACUGUUCACGUUUCGACGGUAUCUAACCAGAAAGCCACGGCUAACUACGUG